AAAUCUUGACAUCCUAUUGACAGUCCUCAUAAAAGGGAUUUCUUCGGACAAUAGAGACAGGUGGUGCAUGGUUGUCGUCAGCUCGUGUCGUGAGAUGUUGGGUUAAGUCCCGCAACGAGCGCAACCCUUGCCUUUAGUAGCCAGCAUUUAAGGUGGGCACUCUAAAGGGACUGCCGGGGACAACCCGGAGGAAGGUGGGGAUGACGUCAAAUCAUCAUGCCCCUUAUGAUUUGGGCUACACACGUGCUACAAUGGCGUAAACAAAGGGAAGCGAACCCGUGAGGGCAAGCAAAUCCCAAAAAUAACGUCUCAGUUCGGAUUGUAGUCUGCAACCCGACUACAUGAAGCUGGAAUCGCUAGUAAUCGCGAAUCAGAAUGUCGCGGUGAAUACGUUCCCGGGUC
rnacentral:rRNA from 1 species